rnacentral:misc_RNA from 1 species
AACGCACGAGACCUGCGGACCUGCGGAGGGAUCAUUACUGAGUGAGGGUCCCCCGGGGCCCAACCUCCCACCCGUGUAUACCGUACCUUGUUGCUUCGGCGGGCCCGCCGCGCAAGCGGCCGCCGGGGGGGGCGUCAAACCCCCCUCCCUAGGCGAGCGCCCGCCGGAGACACCAACGUGAACACUGUCUGAAGUUUUGUUGUCUGAGUUCGAUUGUAUCGCAAUCAGUUAAAACUUUUA